UCUUAUGGAUGAGCAAAGAAAGUAGUUUCUUUAUGUGAAAUCUACACUUGGUGAAACCAUUAUGAA
rnacentral:pre_miRNA from 1 species